GUUUUCACGGAACCAAUCUAACACAAUCGCGCGAAAGCGCGAGGGGUUAUCCCGAGUGCCGUCGGUGAAAGAGGUUUCUAAGGGAAAGGGCGGGGGAAAAGGGGAGGGCAAGUCUGGGGUCACCCGGGGGGGAAUACCAGUUCUCCAAGUAGUAAGGAUUUUUAUUGGGCUUAAAGCGCCCGUAGCCGGUUAACUAAUCCUCCGUGGGGUUCGGGGGAUUGAUUGGUGGGGGGGGGGGGGGGGGUGUUGAUCUGGGGGGGGGGGGGGGCCAACGUUUUUUCCGGAGAAGGGGUGAAACCCAAAAUUUCCGGGAGAACAACCAUUGGGAAAGGCGGUGGGUUGAGGGGGGUUAAACGGGAAGGAUAAAAAAGUUGGGCAACCCCAACCGAAUUAGAAACCCGGGUAAACCCCGGUGGUAAAGGAAUGGGGCUUAGGGGUAAGGGGGGUUACAACCCCCCUCUAGGGCCGGGGCGAGGGCUUUAAGCCCCCCCCUUGAAAAGAAGGGGCGAAAGGCUGAAACUAAAGGCAAUGGGGGGGAAAUUACCCUAGGGGUAAAACUUUUUUUUUAAUUGGAGCCACCCCGGGAAACUUAACCGGGGCCCCCACCAAUUUAAAGGCAAAAUAAGGUUUUUCCCGGACAACUUAGGGGGGGGGGGCUUGGCCUUUGUCCAUUCGGUUUUUAAGGAAACCUGUUUAUUCCUGCAACAAUCGAAACCCCAACCCCCUGGUGGUCCAGGGGAAGUUUCCAAGGAAAAUUUGGGGGGACUGCCUCCAAAAAAAAAAGGAAGAAUUCCCCACCCCCGCUCCCUUGCCCCAAACCCCCGGGGUUAAGGGGCGUAAAAAGGCAGAAAAAUGGACUUCAACCCAAAGGGGGGGGGAUGUGGAAACCCGGCCCUUCUUCGAACGAGGGUUGAAUUCCCCCCCUAAACUGGAUCGUAGUUUCCUUAUAUCUUCUCCUGAAAAUGCCCCAGUACUUGAAAACACAAGAGGCCAUUGGUAUACCCUCUGGAGUUGGUCGUUUAGUGAGGUGUAUCCUACGCUCUGGCCAAUAGGGUCAUUUGUUUAUACGAGAAAUAUGUGGGAUCACCUCCGCCGUCA
rnacentral:rRNA from 1 species